rnacentral:rRNA from 1 species
CUACGGGAUGCUCCAGUAGGGAAUAUUGGGCAAUGGGCGCAAGCCUGACCCAGCAACGCCGCGUGCGCGAAGAAGGCCUUCGGGUCGUAAAGCGCUUUUCUGAGGGAUGAGAAAGGACAGUACCUCAGGAAUAAGCCUCGGCUAACUACGUGCCAGCAGCCGCGGUAAAACGUAGGAGGCGAGCGUUAUCCGGAUUUACUGGGCGUAAAGCGUGUGCAGGCGGUCUGGCAAGUUGGAUGUGAAAGCUCCCGGCUCAACUGGGAGAGGUCGUUCAAAACUACCGGACUAGAGUGUAUCAGAGGGAGAUGGAAUUCCCGGUGUAGUGGUGAAAUGCGUAGAUAUCGGGAGGAACACCAGUGGCGAAAGCGAUCUUCUGGGAUACUACUGACGCUCAGACACGAAAGCUAAGGUAGCGAACGGGAUUAGAUACCCGAGUAGUC